rnacentral:rRNA from 1 species
UACAGAGGUUUCAAGCGUUGUUCGGAUUCAUUGGGCGUAAAGGGUGCGUAGGCGGCGGGGCAAGUCGGAUGUGAAAUCUCAGGGCUCAACCCUGAAACUGCAUUCGAUACUGCCUUGCUCGAGGACUGGAGAGGAGAGUGGAAUUCACGGUGUAGCAGUGAAAUGCGUAGAUAUGCGGAGGAACACCGAUGGCGAAGGCAAUCCCCUGGGCCUGCACUGACGCUCAUGCACGAAAGCGUGGGGAGCAAACAGG